rnacentral:rRNA from 1 species
UGGCGGACGGGUGAGUAAUGUCUGGGAAACUGCCUGAUGGAGGGGGAUAACUACUGGAAACGGUAGCUAAUACCGCAUAACGUCGCAAGACCAAAGAGGGGGACCUUCGGGCCUCUUGCCGUCGGAUGUGCCCAGAUGGGAUUAGCUAGUAGGUGGGGUAAAGGCUCACCUAGGCGACGAUCCCUAGCUGGUCUGAGAGGAUGACCAGCCACACUGGAACUGAGACACGGUCCAG